CCUGUCCCAGCUCGGCCCCGCUGGAGAAUGGAGCCUUUGCUCACACCAGAUGUGUCGGACGGCAUCACAUGCCCUUCUGUCUGGGGUUCACUUGCUGUUUUCGAAAAGGGGGAAAGGAUUUGGGGCGGACAAUCCCGGCGCCCCCUGCUGGCUUUAGGGAGAGACAGGGCUUUAGGGAGGAGAGCCCUGGGGAGCAGGCAGAGUUUUGUGAUAAGGUUGGGACACCUUGAGCAAGCCUUGCUGCUGGGCUAACUGGAGGAUGUGUAGCCAUCUCUGAUCAGACAAGAAGCCCUAUUUGCUGAAGUCUUUCUUCAACACUUUGACUCAGCCAUCCUUCCCUUCCCCAAACCUGCGAAGACCCGGAAAUUCUUCCAGACUCUCCCAUUGCUGGCGACUGCAUCCACCAUCAGAGCCUCUGCUGGGGAAUGGAAUCCUGACUUUGUUUGGGUGUCACCAUGCCCAGACAGAAACCUCCCUUCCUCGGCCUCUGUGCAUCUGCACGUUGACACAGUCUGGUGAAGAGUUACCAUCUCACGGUUUCAGGCAAAGCUUUUGCUUUUGUGG